AUUGGUUAUGGCGAUAUAACUCCGCAUACCUAUUUGGGACGUCUAAUUGGUUCCAUCUGUGCUCUUGCUGGUGUGCUCACUAUUGCUUUACCAGUUCCAGUGAGUUUCGUAGUCUCU
rnacentral:sRNA from 13 species